ACUCCUACGGGAGGCAGCAGUGGGGAAUUUUGGACAAUGGGGGCAACCCUGAUCCAGCCAUGCCGCGUGAGUGAAGAAGGCCUUCGGGUUGUAAAGCUCUUUCGGCCGGGAAGAAAUCGUGUUCUCUAACAUAGGACAUGGAUGACGGUACCGGACUAAGAAGCACCGGCUAACUACGUGCCAGCAGCCGCGGUAAUACGUAGGGUGCGAGCGUUAAUCGGAAUUACUGGGCGUAAAGCGUGCGCAGGCGGUUUUGUAAGACAGAUGUGAAAUCCCCGGGCUUAACCUGGGAACUGCGUUUGUGACUGCAAGGCUAGAGUACGGCAGAGGGGGGUGGAAUUCCUGGUGUAGCAGUGAAAUGCGUAGAUAUCAGGAGGAACACCGAUGGCGAAGGCAGCCCCCUGGGCCUGUACUGACGCUCAUGCACGAAAGCGUGGGGAGCAAACAGGAUUAGAUACCCUGGUAGUC
rnacentral:rRNA from 1 species